AUUGAACGCUGGCGGCAGGCUUAACACAUGCAAGUCGAGCGGAGUGAUGGUGCUUGCACUAUCACUUAGCGGCGGACGGGUGAGUAAUGCUUAGGAAUCUGCCUAUUAGUGGGGGACAACAUCUCGAAAGGGAUGCUAAUACCGCAUACGUCCUACGGGAGAAAGCAGGGGAUCACUUGUGACCUUGCGCUAAUAGAUGAGCCUAAGUCGGAUUAGCUAGUUGGUGGGGUAAAGGCCUACCAAGGCGACGAUCUGUAGCGGGUCUGAGAGGAUGAUCCGCCACACUGGGACUGAGACACGGCCCAGACUCCUACGGGAGGCAGCAGUGGGGAAUAUUGGACAAUGGGGGGAACCCUGAUCCAGCCAUGCCGCGUGUGCGAAGAAGGCCUUAUGGUUGUAAAGCACCUUAAGCGAGGAGGAGGCUCUUUUGGUUAAUACCCAAGAUGAGUGGACGUUACUCGCAGAAUAAGCACCGGCUAACUCUGUGCCAGCAGCCGCGGUAAAAC
rnacentral:rRNA from 1 species